rnacentral:rRNA from 1 species
CCUCUCGUAGGCGUUUCGAAAAUGAAUCAAAACUUUCAACAACGGAUCUCUUGGUUCUGGCAUCGAUGAAGAACGCAGCGAAAUGCGAUAAGUAAUGUGAAUUGCAGAAUUCAGUGAAUCAUCGAAUCUUUGAACGCACAUUGCGCCCGCCAGUAUUCUG